rnacentral:rRNA from 1 species
UACGAAGGGGGCUAGCGUUGCUCGGAAUCACUGGGCGUAAAGCGCACGUAGGCGGCUUUCUAAGUCAGGGGUGAAAUCCUGGAGCUCAACUCCAGAACUGCCUUUGAUACUGGAAGCUUGAGUCCGGGAGAGGUGAGUGGAACUGCGAGUGUAGAGGUGAAAUUCGUAGAUAUUCGCAAGAACACCAGUGGCGAAGGCGGCUCACUGGCCCGGUACUGACGCUGAGGUGCGAAAGCGUGGGGAGCAAACAGGG